GCCGAGAUAGCUCAAUGGCAGAGCAACGGUAUCGUAAACCGUAGGUUGCGAGUUCGACUCUCGCUCUCGGCU
rnacentral:tRNA from 2 species